AAGGAUCAUUAAUGAAAUGCAAGGACGCUCUUUUUAGAGGUCCGACCCAAAUCAUUUUCCUUUACACUGUGCACAUACUACUUUUUUCUACACCAUUUUUUAAACGCAAUAGUCUAAGAAUGUCAUAUCAGUCUCGAAAGAGCAUAAAAGUAAUAAAACUUUCAGCAACGGAUCUCUUGGCUCUCGCAUCGAUGAAGAACGCAGCGAAAUGCGAUACGUAAUGUGAAUUGCAGAAUUCAGUGAAUCAUCGAAUCUUUGAACGCACCUUGCACUCUUUGGUAUUCCGAAGAGUAUGUCUGUUUGAGUGUCAUGAAACUCUCAACCCCCUCAUUUUGUAAUGAAGUGUAGCGCGGGCUUGGUUUAUGGUUGCUGUCGGCGUAAAUGCCGGCUCAACUGAAAUUGACGAGCGACCCAGUUUGAAUACCAGACGGCUUGACUCGGCGUAAUAACUAUUACCGCUGAGGACGUCUACCUUUCAAAUCGUUAGUGGUGCUUCUAAUGCAUUUAUAAUUUAAGCUUUAGACCUCAAAUCAGUCAGGACUACCCGCUGAACUUAA
rnacentral:rRNA from 1 species